CCUACGGGAGGCAGCAGUGAGGAAUAUUGGUCAAUGGGCGAGAGUCUGAACCAGCCAAGUAGCGUGAAGGAUGACUGCCCUAUGGGUUGUAAACUUCUUUUAUAUGGGAAUAAAAUGUUCCACGUGUGGGAUUUUGUAUGUACCAUAUGAAUAAGGAUCGGCUAACUCCGUGCCAGCAGCCGCGGUAAUACGGAGGAUCCGAGCGUUAUCCGGAUUUAUUGGGUUUAAAGGGAGCGUAGGUGGAUUGUUAAGUCAGUUGUGAAAGUUUGCGGCUCAACCGUAAAAUUGCAGUUGAAACUGGCAGUCUUGAGUACAGUAGAGGUGGGCGGAAUUCGUGGUGUAGAGGUGAAAUGCUUAGAUAUCACGAAGAACUCCGAUUGCGAAGGCAGUUCACUGGACUGCAACUGACACUGAGGCUCGAAAGUGUGGGUAUCAAACAGGAUUAGAUACCCGAGUAGUC
rnacentral:rRNA from 1 species